UUCGUAGGUGGCUAGCGUUGUCCGGAUUUACUGGGCGUAAAGAGCGCGCAGGCGGUCGUUCAAGUCGAGUGUGAAAGCCCCCGGCUCAACUGGGGAGGGUCACUCGAUACUGAUCGACUCGAAGGCAGGAGAGGGAAGCGGAAUUCCCGGUGUAGUGGUGAAAUGCGUAGAUAUCGGGAGGAACACCAGUGGCGAAGGCGGCUUUCUGGCCUGUUCUUGACGCUGAGGCGCGAAAGCUAGGGUAGCAAACGGG
rnacentral:rRNA from 1 species